AAAAUAAACCUGCAGAAACUCUAUGUUCUGCAGGUUCCCUUUGUUUUUCAUUGAAAAACAAAUAGGCAAAGGGAGAGGAGAAACCGGAGGAAGAACUUAUGGGGAAGUUUAAGUCUUCUCCGU
rnacentral:ncRNA from 1 species